UGAUUAUAGAACUGGAUAUAUUUUUUUCCCGAGGCAUAAUAAAGACGACAUUUUAAGGUUUCGUUAUCCAUCUGAUACAGCUUAUAGCACUAAAUUGGUAACAAGUGCAAGGGAACCAAUAGCUCUGGUUAUUGACCCGCUAUUGAAUCAUGUGUACUGGACAGAAAUAUACCAACAAAAGAUCUAUAGAUGUAAUUUUGAUGGGACAAAUAAGAACUUCAGUCUGCAAGAUGAUCAACUAUAUGCUAUUACAUUAGAUUACGUAAACAGAUGGCUGUAUUAUAGUACAAAGACAAAUAAAAUAAAAAGAUCAAAAUUAAAUGUUGCUGACACAACGACCAUUAAAUAAUUGGUCGAUGUAACUGGUUUGGGUAUAGAUGCUAACAAAAAACGACUGUAUUGGAUGGAAUAUCAAAAAGGUGAUUUGGAAUCUUCCGAUCUAAAUGGAACAAAUGCUAUAAAAAUUGUCAGCACGAAUAAAACGAGAACAAACAUAGGCAUCUAUGUUUAUGGUAGCAAAAUAUAUUGCUCAAAUGGUAAUCAAAUAUUAAAGGUCAAAGUAUCACCAGUUACAAUGGCAGAGGUCGUACACACAGAUACAGAGACAAUCCAUGGUGUACUUUUUUAUGAUGGUAAGGAUAUACUUAUUGGAAGAAAAGGGUAAAGAUAAAUUAUCUGACAUAUUCGUAUACUGUUUAUAUUUUUUUCAGUCAAUUAAGAUAAAAUCACAUGAACGGUACCAAUUGUUCUGCACAAGAUACGCAUUUCCACAAUUCAUGAGCUGUGUCAGUUAGAAAUCGACCUUAUGCAAAUGAUUAUCAAUAUAUAUAUAUUAACCUUUUUCGGGUUGAAAAAAAUCUAUAUGCAAAAUUUGUAACUGUUUGAAAAUUUAGUCGAUAUAAAAAAACCUACAAAAUAGACCAAAUCAUCUUUUAUUUCGUAUUUGAAUGUUUCAAAAUCAAUCAAAGUAUGAUACAUGUAAAUGUAUAAGUGUAUUUGUCAAUUUCUAUCCGAUGCAGCUCACAUGUCACAUGAUAGUAUGGCCGAAAUAUUUGAAAAAAUCAAAACCUAAUGAAAAAAAAAUGAAGAGCCUAUACAUUAUAAACCAAAAAGAACAAAAGGUAAAGGCACAGCCGGGCAAGGAAUCAGAGCUUAUAAUGAGAAGAUUAUCAGUCCAAUAAACAUGUGGAUAUUUCUUAACGAAUCAAUUCAUAAUUAAUUUGCAAUGUUUUUUAAUUGGAUUAUUUAAAAUGCAAUAUGUGUAAAUAAUGACUUGUUAAGAAGAAUGAAUAAGUUUGUACAAAUGUAUGUUAGUCUGUAAAUGAGAAAAUUACAUGCAUACAAACAAUGUAUAUUGCACAAUACGGAUGAAUUGUACACGUAAUUUGACAAAUAAAAAUGUUUGCAAUAAAUGUUUAAAUUAUUGACCGAAAUAUGUUAUGCAUAAUUUUAUCAUAUAUGUAAUCUAUAUAUUUUCAUCUGCAACUUUUAUUUGUCAUUAGUUGACGAUGUUUAACCUUUUUGUAUGUGUCUUUGUCUAAAGAUUGUGAAAUAGUUAUGUACUGCUUGUACGUGUAUGCAGCCAUAUAAUCAAUGUUAUCUCGUAGCUGUUAAUUCGCAUUAAAUUAACGAAACGUAAAGGUUAACUA